rnacentral:misc_RNA from 1 species
GAUGAAGAACGCAGCGAAAUGCGAUAAGUAAUGUGAAUUGCAGAAUUCAGUGAAUCAUCGAAUCUUUGAACGCACAUUGCGCCCGCCGGUAUUCCGGCGGGCAUGCCUGUCCGAGCGUCAUUUCACCACUCAAGCCUGGCUUGGUGUUGGGCGACGUCCUCUUUGGGGACGCGCCUCGAAACGCUCGGCGGCGUGGCACCGGCUUUAAGCGUAGCAGAAUCUUUCGCUUUGGAAGUCGGGGCCCCGUCUGCCGGAAGACCUGCUCGCAAGGUUGACCUCGGAUCAGGCAGGGAUACCCGCUGAACUUAAGCAUAUCAAUAAGCGGAGGA